GCCGCUAUGGUGAAAUCGGUAGACACGCUGCUUUAACCAUUCAGCGGGUUCGAGUCCGAGUAGCGGCA
rnacentral:tRNA from 1 species